rnacentral:misc_RNA from 1 species
UGUGGGAGCGGGCUUGCUCGCGAAUACGGUGGGUCAGUUAAUGAAGAUAGCGACUGAUACACCGCCUUCGCGAGCAAGCCCGCUCCCACA